AAAACCCACUGUUCAGCAUAUGCACGGCACUGUGUAUGCGGCUGGUGAAAUUUCUAUGAUAUUUUGCUCUGGGAUGACUGUAAUCCGGACACGGCACGGGAAUCGCCAUCAGUCGUGAAGAAUCCAAUCGUGAGUGGAGAGACGUCUGAUGAGAAGUCACUUGAACACUGAGCUGCAGAAUGUUCUUCGUCUCCUAUUGUGUCGUCAAGCCGGAGAUUUGCUGUACAGGAACUCGCCUGCCUGUGUACCACCUCCAGUUGAGAUCCGUGUUGGUCGGAGAAGUCUAAUGUCACUGGGAAUUCCAUCCGCAUCCUUGACGAUGUAUGACUGUCUAUCACAAUGGUGUACCACAGCGUUGAACUCUUCUUGACU